rnacentral:misc_RNA from 1 species
UAGACAAAAACCAUAUUUCUCAUCUCUCAAAUCAAAAAAGGUUUCUUUUUUUAUAUUUUAUGGAGGAUUUAUCAUCUUCUACUUCAAACAGCCAACAAACUGAUCUCAAAAUGGGCACGCAAAAGCGCAAGGCAGGAAGGAAAAAGUUCAUGGAGACUCGCCAUCCUGUGUACAAGGGUGUCCGGCGAAGGAAUGGAAAGUGGGUGAGUGAAUUGCGACAGCCUCAUGCCAAGCCCAGGAUUUGGCUUGGAACGUUUUCAAGGCCUGAAAUGGCAGCUAGGGCUUAUGAUGUAGCUGCCUUAGCUCUUAGGGGAGAUUCUGCCUCCUUGAACUUCCCUGAAUCAGCCCAUUUGCUGCCUCGGGUUGGGUCUACUUCUGUUAGGGACAUUCAGUGUGCUGCUCUAGAGGCUGCAGAUCAGAGUUAUGUUCAUGUUGAUCAGUUUCAGUGUUCUUCUUCAUCUUCUUGUUGUCCAUCGAUGACCAAAGAAGAUGGAAGCGAUAAGGUUGAAGAAGGUUGUAAGAGGAAGGUGUUUUUGGAUGAGGAAGAGUUGUUUAACAUGCCAGCACUACUUGAUAGUAUGGCAGAAGGGCUGAUUCUUACGCCACCAGCCAUGAAAAGAGGGUUCAGCUGGAAUGAUGUGGAUGACGACCAUCCUUUGGAUUCGACUCUAUGGAGUGAUUGAUGGUCCAUACCUUUGAAGGGAAAUUUUUUACUGGACCCAUCGCUGUGGAUUCAAGAUGCAAUAUCAAUUAUGGGAUUUCUGAAAAACCACAUAUUUAUGUCCUACUUCAUGAUAUAACAUUCAUGAUAUAUCGAUUUAGGACAUAAAUAUGUGGUUUUUCAGAAA